UACGGAGGGGGCUAGCGUUGUUCGGAAUUACUGGGCGUAAAGCGUGCGCAGGCGGUUUUGUAAGUCUGUCGUGAAAGCCCCGGGCUCAACCUGGGAAUUGCGAUGGAGACUGCAAGGCUUGAAUCUGGCAGAGGGGGGUAGAAUUCCACGUGUAGCAGUGAAAUGCGUAGAGAUGUGGAGGAACACCGAUGGCGAAGGCAGCCCCCUGGGUCAAGAUUGACGCUCAUGCACGAAAGCGUGGGGAGCAAACAGG
rnacentral:rRNA from 1 species